rnacentral:lncRNA from 1 species
AUGGAGCAUCAGGAGCAGAGGAAACAGAAAAAUCUGGAACAUCAGGAGCAGAAUCACCUGGAGCAGAGGAAGCAGAAAAAGCUGGAACAUCUGGAACAGAAUCAUCUGGAGAUGGAGCAUCAGGAGCAGAAGAAGCAGAAGGAGCAGGAUCAUCUGGAACAGAGGAAGCAGAAAAAUCUGGAACAUGAGGAGCAGAGGAAACAGAAAAAGCAGAAACAUCAGGAGCAGAAUCAUCUGGAAAGGGAGCAUCAGGAGCAGAGGAAAGAGAAGAAACAGAAACACCUGGAGCAGAAGCAGCAGAAUCAUCUGGAGAUGGAGCAUCAGGAGAAAAGGAAGCAGAAAAAGCAGAAACAUCUGGAGAUGGAGCAUCAGGAGCAGAGGAAAGAGAGGAAACAGAAACAUCUGGAACAGAAUCAUCUGGAAAUGGAGCAUCAGGAGCAGAGGAAACAGAAGGAGCAGGAGCAUCUUGAACAGAGGCAGCAGGAAAAGGUGGAACGCCUGGAGCUGGAGCAUCAGAAGCAAAGGAAGCAGAAAAAGCUGCAGCAUCAGGAACAGAACCAUUUGGAGAUGGAGCAUCAGGAGAAAGGGAAGCAGAAAAAGCAGAAUCACCUGGAGCUGGAACAUCUGGAGCAGAAGGAGCAAAAAAAGCUGAAACAUCUGGAGCAGAGGAAACAGAAAAAGCAGAAUCACCUGGAGCAGAGGAAGCAGAAAAAGCCGGAGCUCCAGGAGCAUCUUGAACAGAGGGAUGAGGAAAAGCUGGAACAUCAGGAGGUGGAGCAUCAGGAGAAAAGGGAGCAGAAAGAGCAGAAUCACCUGGAGCAGAGGAAGCAAAACAAGCAGAAACAUCUGGAAAUGGAGCAUCAGGAGCAGAGGAAAGAGAGGAAACAGAAACAUCUGGAGCAGAAAAAGCAAAAUCAUGUGGAGCAGAAUCAUCUGGGGAUGGAACAUCAGGAACAGGAGCAUCUUGAGCAGAAGAAGCAGAAAAAGCUGAAACAUCAGGAGCAGAGGAAACAGAAGAAACAGAAAUAUCUGGAGCAGAAUGAUCUGGAGAUGGAGCACCAGGAGCAGAGGAAGCAGAAGAAGCAGAAUUCUCUGGAACAGAAUUUUUUGGACCACAAGAAUCAGGAGCAGGAGGCCCUGGAGCCCCCCAGGAACUGCUGCCUGUCCCCACCCCCCAAGAAGAAAAAGAAGAAGCAGCAGCAGGAGCUGUCCUGA